GACGAACGCUGGCGGCGUGCUUAACACAUGCAAGUCGAACGGUGAAGCUCCAGCUUGCUGGAGUGGAUCAGUGGCGAACGGGUGAGUAACACGUGAGCAACCUGCCCCUGACUCUGGAAUAAGCGCUGGAAACGGCGUCUAAUACUGGAUACGAGAAGGGUCCGCAUGGGCACUUUCUGGAAAGUUUUUCGGUUGGGGAUGGGCUCGCGGCCUAUCAGCUUGUUGGUGAGGUAAUGGCUCACCAAGGCGACGACGGGUAGCCGGCCUGAGAGGGCGACCGGCCACACUGGGACUGAGACACGGCCCAAACUCCUACGGGAGGCAGCAGUGGGGAAUAUUGCACAAUGGGCGAAAGCCUGAUGCAGCGACGCCGCGUGAGGGAUGACGGCCUUCGGGUUGUAAACCUCUUUCAGCAGGGAAGAAGCGAAAGUGACGGUACCUGCAGAAGAAGCACCGGCUAACUACGUG
rnacentral:rRNA from 1 species